rnacentral:rRNA from 39 species
UGACCUCGGAUCAGGUAGGGAUACCCGCUGAACUUAAGCAUAUCAAUA